ensembl:miRNA mir218a-2 microRNA 218a-2
GCGGGGUUUUCCUUUGUGCUUGAUCUAACCAUGUGGUUGCAGACUCAGACUAAUACAUGGUUCUGUCAAGCACCAUGGAAGGUCUUGC